rfam:Picea glauca, whole genome shotgun sequence.
GCGUGCGAUCAUACCAGUGUAAAUGCACCGGAUACCAUCAGAACUCUGUAGUUAAGCGCGCUUAGGCUAGAGUAGUACUGGGAUGGGUGACCUCCCGAGAAGUCCUAGUGUUGCACCCU